UAGGGAAUCUUCGGCAAUGGGGGCAACCCUGACCGAGCAACGCCGCGUGAGUGAAGAAGGUUUUCGGAUCGUAAAGCUCUGUUGUAAGAGAAGAACGUGUGUGAGAGUGGAAAGUUCACACAGUGACGGUAACUUACCAGAAAGGGACGGCUAACUACGUGCCAGCAGCCGCGGUAAUACGUAGGUCCCGAGCGUUGUCCGGAUUUAUUGGGCGUAAAGCGAGCGCAGGCGGUUUAAUAAGUCUGAAGUUAAAGGCAGUGGCUUAACCAUUGUUCGCUUUGGAAACUGUUAAACUUGAGUGCAGAAGAGGAGACUGGAAUUCCACGUGUAGCGGUGAAAUGCGUAGAUAUAUGGAGGAACACCGGUAGCGAAAGCGGCUCUCUGGUCUGUAACUGACGAUGAGGAUCGAAAGCGUGGGGAGCAAAGAGG
rnacentral:rRNA from 1 species